GGGCAUUUCUGAAACCCCUCGGACUCUUUUCUGCAGUAGAUUCCGAGACAAGAAGAGAUGCCAGAGCGAACCCGUGAGAUUUCCAAAGAGCGGAGACUGUCAGCACCCGCCGCUCUAUUUCACAUCUCGCACAUCU